rnacentral:lncRNA from 1 species
UGGAAGGAAAGCGGUGAGAAGCGGAGAGGGCGGGGGACCUUUGGGCGGGCCGAAGGGGGAGUGGGAGGCGGUGAAAAAGAUCAACUUUUCCCCACUAUGCAAAUCACCAGCGGUGUCCGGUGGACGAUGAUAUCGAGUGGUUCCCAUGACGAAUUUGACGCUAUGCGACCAAAGGCAGGAGACUUUCUUCAGCAAAAAUGGCUGACAAAAAUACUGGGAUGGAAGCAAAUGCACUGUCCUUGGGUGUCUGACUCUCGGGUACACACAUGAAGAUAAGCUAGAAGACAACUAAGCUUGGCAACAAAGAUGCGUCUGGAGGCUGGGACCAGCCUGCACGCCAACGAUAGGAUGAGUACAUUUAAACCACGCUCAUCCUCCCUCUGACAGGCCAGCAGUGAGCGGGAACUAUCUCUGUCAGAGUAUUUAAUGAAGAACUUAUGAUGUCAUUUUCAGUUCUCUGUUUGCCCUGCGAGGUGUUACAGUGAACCCGUAUAUACGAAGAUUGCAUUUACCAUUUAUUUUGCUUGACUAAUUCUAUUAAAAAACAGCUGAAAAUAUAUUCAGUAGCCUAGUGUUAAAUUUUGUUCUGAUACCAGAAUUGAAUUGACGCAGCCCUAACAGUAUGAAAUUGCAAUUCAGGUGUUUUAAUGUUUUAGGGACUCCUGAAACAACCAGCAAACCAGGCUGCCGUCUUGUGGAACAGAAUCUAGCUAGCUAAAGUAUUUACUGCAAAUUGAAUGUUCAAAUUUGUAAGCUUGCCUUGCUGAUAUUUGCCAUGCAGAUAGAUGAAAUAACGUAGCUAGCUAUGUUCUUGCUUAUUGUGCAGUGGAGGAUAAAAAUAUCUGUAUGCCUAUGGAUGUGUAGCUAGCUAUCUAGCCAGCUAUCUAGCCAAUCUGUGUAUGUAUGGACCCAAACGUUUGGUAUACAUAUUAGUUCAGAACCUAGCUAUGAAUCUCAGCUAUCAUAGCCAGUUGUAUCAAUUUAAAAACAGUCUGAAUGACAUCAAUGAAGCCUAUGGAUUGAGUAGGAUAUAAUAUUUUUGUGCCAAGGAUGCAAGUCGUAUAUACAUGUAGUUAUUACUAUGCAUGAGAUCCUCUUCAAUGGGGGAGACACUCUAGACCCAAACUGUUACAGACCUAUAUCUAUCCUACCUUUCUAAAGUCUUCAAAAGCCAAGUUAACAAACAGAUCACCGACCAUUUCGAAAUCCACCGUACCUUCUCCUCUAUGCAAUCUGGUUUCCGAGCGGGUCAUGGGUGCACCUCAGCCACGCUCAAGGUCCUAAACGAUAUCGUAACCGCCAUCGAUAAAAGACAAUACUGUGCAGCCGUCUUCAUCGACCUGGCCAAGGCUUUCGACUCUGUCAAUCACCGCAUUCUUAUUGGCCGACUCAACAUCCUUGGUUUCUCAAAUGACUGCCUCACCUGGUUCACCAACUACUUCUCAGAUAGAAUUUAGUAUGUCAAAUCGGAGGGCCUGUUGUCCGGACCUCUAGCAGUCUCUAUGGGGGUGUCACAGGGUUCAAUUCUCGGGCUGACACUUUUCUCUGUAUACAUCAAUGAUGUCGCUCUUGCUGCUGGUGAUUCUCUGAUCCACCUCUAUGCAGCCGAGACCAUUCUGUAUACCUUCUUUGGACACUGUGUUAACUAAUGCCAUACAACACCCCUUCCGUGGCCUCCAACUUCUCUUAAAUGCAAGUAAAACUAAAUGCAUGCUCUUCAACCGAUCACUGCCCGCACCCGCCCGCCCCUCUAGCAUCACUACUCUGGACAGUUCUGACUUAGAAUAUGUGGACAACUACAAAUACGUAGGUGUCUGGUUAGACUGUAAACUCUCCUUCCAGACUCACAUUAAGCAUCUCCAAUCCAAAAUUAAAUCUAGAAUCGGCUUCCUAUUUCGCAACAAAGCAUCCUUCACUCAUGCUGCCAAACAUACCCUCGUAAAACUGACUAUCCUACCGAUCCUUGACUCCGGUGAUGUCAUUUACAAAAUAGCCUCCAACCCUCUACUCAGCAAAUUGGAUGUAGUCUAUCACAGUGCCAUCCGUUCUGUCACCAAAGCCUCAUAUACUACCCACCACUGCGACCUGUAUGGUCUCGUUGACUGUCCCUCGCUUCAUAUUCGUCGCCAAACCCACUGGCUCCAGGUCAUCUGUAAGUCUUUGCUAGGUAAAGCCCCGCCUUAUCUCAGCUCACUGGUCACCAUAGCAGCACCCGCCCGUAGCACGCGCUCCAGCGUUUAUAUUUCACUUGUCAUCCCCAAAGCCAACUCCUCCUUUGGCUGCCUUUCCUUCCAGUUCUCUGCUGCCAAUGACUGGAACGAAUUGCAAAAAUCACUGAAGCUGGAGUCUUUUAUCUCCCUCACUAACUUUAAGCAUCAGCUGUCAGAGCAGCUUACUGAUCAUUACACCUGUACACAGCCCAUCUGUAAAUAUCCCACCCAACUCCCUCAUCCUCAUAUUGAUUUGUUUUUUUUGCUCCUUUGCACCCCAGGAUCUCGACUUGCUCAUUCAUCUUCUGCACAUCUAUCACUCCAGUGUUUAAUUGUAAUUAUUUCACCACUAUGGCCUAUUUAUUGCCUUACCUCCCUAAUCUUACUACAUUUGCACACUGUAUAUCAUUUUUGUAUUGUGUUAUUGACUGUACAUUUGUUUAUCCCAUGUGUAACUCUGUGUUGUUUGUGUCGCACUGCUUUGCUUUAUCUUGGCCAGGUCGCAGUUGUAAAUGAGAACUUGUUCUCAACUGGCCUACCUGGUUUAAUAAAGGUGAAAAAAUAUAUAUAUAUAUUGUAGCCUGUACAUUUAAUAUAUUC